rnacentral:ncRNA from 1 species
UACCUGGUUGAUUCUGCCAGUAGUCAUAUGCUUGUCUCAAAGAUUAAGCCAUGCAUGUCUAAGUAUAAGCAAUUAUACAGCGAAACUGCGAAUGGCUCAUUAUAUAAGUUAUCGUUUAUUUGAUAGUACCUUACUACUUGGAUAACCGUGGUAAUUCUAGAGCUAAUACAUGCUGAAAAUCCCGACUUCGGAAGGGAUGUAUUUAUUAGAUUCAAAACCAAUGCCCUCUGGGCUCACUGGUGAUUCAUGAUAACUCUUCGAAUCGCAUGGCCUUGCGCCGGCGAUGGUUCAUUCAAAUUUCUUCCCUAUCAACUUUCGAUGUUUGGGUAGUGGCCAAACAUGGUUGCAACGGGUAACGGAGGGUUAGGGCUCGACCCCGGAGAAGGAGCCUGAGAAACGGCUACUACAUCCAAGGAAGGCAGCAGGCGCGCAAAUUACCCAAUCCCGACACGGGGAGGUAGUGACGAUAAAUACCGAUACAGGGCUCUUUUGGGUCCUGUAAUUGGAAUGAGUACAAUUUAAAUCCCUUAACGAGGAACAAUUGGAGGGCAAGUCUGGUGCCAGCAGCCGCGGUAAUUCCAGCUCCAAUAGCGUAUAUUAAAGUUGUUGUGGUUAAAAAGCUCGUAGUUGAACCUUGGGCCUGGCUGGCCGGUCCGCCUCACCGCGUGUACUGGUCCGGCCGGGCCUUUCCCUCUGUGGAACCCCAUGCCCUUCACUGGGUGUGGCGGGGAAACAGGACUUUUACUUUGAAAAAAUUAGAGUGCUCCAGGCAGGCCUAUGCUCGAAUUGGAAUAGGACGCGUGGUCUUAUUUCGUUGGUUUCUAGGCCCGCCGUAAUGAUUAAUAGGGACAGUCGGGGGCAUCAGUAUUCAAUCGUCAGAGGUGAAAUUCUUGGAUCGAUUGAAGACUAACUACUGCGAAAGCAUUUGCCAAGGAUGUUUUCAUUUGCUGGAGGUGGGAAGGCCAGCCACCGUAGCACCUGUACCGGUAGGGCCUGCCUAUAUUAAUA